UACAGAGGGUGCAAACGUUGUUCGGAUUUACUGGGCGUAAAGCGCGUGUAGGCGGCUUGGUAAGUCGGAUGUGAAAGCCCACGGCUCAACCGUGGAAGUGCAUUCGAAACUGCCUCGCUCGAGUCCUGGAGAGGAAGGUGGAAUGCUUGGUGUAGAGGUGAAAUUCGUAGAUAUCAAGCGGAACACCGGUGGCGAAGGCGACCUUCUGGACAGUGACUGACGCUGAGACGCGAAAGCGUGGGGAGCAAACAGG
rnacentral:rRNA from 1 species